GUGGGCGCACUCGCCAAAGUUUCUCCAAAGCCUGAAGUCUCUCUGACCCAAAAGGGGAUAGGAAUAUGUGAAAUUCUUCUAAGGAAGCAAAUCAAUAGCAACACCAACCAUCUCCUGUGGUUUUCCUUGUAUCAUCGCAUGCACCCUAUUUGAUUGGUUACAGAAAACAAGCUUUACCAAUAUAUCUUAAGGUUGUCAAAAAUUUCUAAUCUAAUAGCUGGCUCAAGUAAGGUGAACUCAUUGGUGCAGAUAUUUCUAAAUGAUCAAACUACUGAUGUGUUGUGAAAUGGCAGCUUAUUAUCACCCGGAAACACCUUAUUUAACAAGUAUCCAGCUUAAGGAUAGAGUGAUGGACAUGAAUUGGGAUAGUUUGUCAGGCAGUGAUGUCUUGUAAUUGGUAAUAAGCUGCUAACUUGUAUGGAAGAUUCUGUAGUUGGUUUGUUAAGUUUGUAGGAGGAAUAUCUACAGGUUGAACUUAUUUUUCCUUAAUGUUGAAAUUUUCAGAUUUGGAAGAUUGUAAAAGUUGUAAUUGAGAACUCA